rnacentral:rRNA from 1 species
AUUGCCCCAGUAACGGCGAGUGAAGCGGCAACAGCUCAAUUUGGAAUCUGGCCCCCAGGGCCCGAGUUGUAAUCUGGAGAGGAUGCUUCUGGCGCGGCGCCUUCCGAGUUCCCUGGAACGGGACGCCGGAGAGGGUGAGAGCCCCGUACGGUUGGACGCCUAGCCUUUGUGAAGCUCCUUCGACGAGUCGAGUAGUUUGGGAAUGCUGCUCAAAAUGGGAGGUAAAUUUCUUCUAAAGCUAAAUACCGGCCAGAGACCGAUAGCGCACAAGUAGAGUGAUCGAAAGAUGAAAAGCACUUUGAAAAGAGGGUCAAACAGUACGUGAAAUUGUUGAAAGGGAAGCGCCCGUGGCCAGACUUGUGCCCCGCGGACCACCCGGCGCCCUCAGCGCCGGUGCACUCCGCGGGGCGCAGGCCAGCAUCGGUUUUCCUAGGGGGAUAAAAGCCCGCGGGGAACGUGGCUCCUUCGGGAGUGUUAUAGCCCGUCGUGCCAUGCCCCUGGGGGGACCGAGGACCGCGCUUCGGCAAGGAUGCUGGCGUAAUGGCCACCGGCGACCCGUCUUGAAACACGGACCAAGGAGUCAAGCAUUGGGGCGAGUGUCUGGGUGCCAAACCCGCACGCGAAAUGAAAGUGAACGCAGGUGAGAGCUUCGGCGCAUCAUCGACCGAUCCUGAUGUUCUCGGAUGGAUUUGAGUAAGAGCCUUACCGCUUGGACCCGAAAGAUGGUGAACUAUGCCUGUAUAGGGUGAAGCCAGAGGAAACUCUGGUGGAGGCUCGCAGCGGUUCUGACGUGCAAUCGAUCGUCAAAUAUGGGCAUGGGGCGAAAGACUAAUCGAACCAUCUAGUAGCUGGUUACCGCCGAAGUU